rnacentral:tRNA from 5 species
UGGAAUAUGGUGUAAUUGGUAACACGUCUGGUUUUGGUCCAGAAGAGUGGGGGUUCGAGACCCUCUAUUCCAA